UGUGUACUCCCUCCGUUCGGAAUUACUUGUCGUAGAAAUGGUUGUAUCUAGACAUUUUUUAGUUCUAGAUACAUCCAUUUCCGCGACAAGUAAUUCGGGACGGAGGGAGUACUUG
rfam:Triticum aestivum genome assembly, contig: Triticum_aestivum_CS42_TGACv1_scaffold_499868_6BL